rnacentral:rRNA from 1 species
AUUGAACGCUGGCGGCAGGCCUAACACAUGCAAGUCGAGCGGAUGAAGGGAGCUUGCUCCUGGAUUCAGCGGCGGACGGGUGAGUAAUGCCUAGGAAUCUGCCUGGUAGUGGGGGAUAACGUCCGGAAACGGGCGCUAAUACCGCAUACGUCCUGAGGGAGAAAGUGGGGGAUCUUCGGACCUCACGCUAUCAGAUGAGCCUAGGUCGGAUUAGCUAGUUGGUGGGGUAAAGGCCUACCAAGGCGACGAUCCGUAACUGGUCUGAGAGGAUGAUCAGUCACACUGGAGCUGAGACACGGUCCAGACUCCUACGGGAGGCAGCAGUGGGCAAUAUUGGACAAUGGGCGAAAGCCUGAUCCAGCCAUGCCGCGUGUGUGAAGAAGGUCUUCGGAUUGUAAAGCACUUUAAGUUGGGAGGAAGGGCAGUAAGUUAAUACCUUGCUGUUUUGACGUUACCAACAGAAGAAGCACCGGCUAACUUCGUG